AGAGUUUGAUCAUGGCUCAGAUUGAACGCUGGCGGUAUGCUUAACACAUGCAAGUCGAACGGUAACAGGGCCUUCGGGCGCUGACGAGUGGCGGACGGGUGAGUAACGCGUAGGAAUCUGCCUCAUAGUGGGGGACAACGUGGGGAAACUCACGCUAAUACCGCAUACGCCCUACGGGGGAAAGCGGGGGAUCUUCGGACCUCGCGCUAUGAGAUGAGCCUGCGUUAGAUUAGCUAGUUGGUAGGGUAAAGGCCUACCAAGGCGACGAUCUAUAGCUGGUCUGAGAGGACGAUCAGCCACACUGGGACUGAGACACGGCCCAGACUCCUACGGGAGGCAGCAGUGGGGAAUAUUGGACAAUGGGCGCAAGCCUGAUCCAGCAAUACCGCGUGUGUGAAGAAGGCCUUAGGGUUGUAAAGCACUUUCAAUUGGGAGGAAAACCUGCCGGUCAAUACCCGGUAGCUUGACAUUACCUUUAGAAGAAGCACCGGCUAACUCCGUG
rnacentral:rRNA from 1 species